GGGGUCGUAUAGGUGAAACAACUCACUCAAUAUCACAAGCUGUUAUGUGGUGAAGUUUGCAUGAUCAGUACAGGGUUCUGGUCGUCCCACUCAUUGAGUGGUGCUAGUCAAGAUCUGGAAGCUCUUCUGGUCUUAGUUUCUCUAGCUGUGAAGUGACAAUGAUUAGGUCUAAUCAUAGAACAUGAGAGUACAUGUGAAAAAAUGCCUUUUUAAAGAGUAUGAAAAACUUGAGUUGUAAAAUUUUCUUGUGAAUAAUUUAUUAUUGCUUUUCUUUUUUAGAUAACACUAACAAAGUUGACCUUAGAAUUGGAGUGCCUGGGUUAGAACCCUGCUGGUACCACCUGCUUACUGCAUGCUUCUGAUGUGAGUUCAGGAGAAGACACUGGCAAGGACAGCAAAGAACAGGAGAACACUCUAGCUUCCCUGAUAGCAUUCAAGGUGCUGUCCAAAGCUCUUGAGUUUCUGCUUUCAAGUGACCCUCAGAAAUUCCCCCAUUCACUGCAGAGGUUCUGUUUCUCCUUGCUUUGUUCUGACUUUACGGCAGAACUAAGCUGAUGAGUUAGUUACUAUGGGUUAUCACUUGGAUUUGAAGAACCAUCAUUUCUAGGCAUUGCUGCUCAGAGUGGGUCUGCCCUCAGGGGAAGCUGUCUAACCAGAGCCUAACCCACUAGGGUUUUAUCAGAACCUAACUGACCUGAGGAAAAGAAAUAUUCAACUCCAGCAAGCUCCAGCCUUCCAAAUGGAGGAGAAGAAAACCCAACUCCAGCCCACUUCAGCUAUCUUGUCCCACAUAAAGGGGAAGUGGAAGAAACCUGAGAAGCAGGCAUGAAGUUCACAGUCCAGAGGUACAGACACAUCAGAGUUCAGUAUCUGAUGAAUUAGAUGCAAAAACCUCAACAAAGUAUUAGCAAAUUGAAUUCAACAAUGUAUGAAAAUUAUUACAUGCCAUGACUAAUUGGAAUUUAUCUCAGGUAUACAAGCCAUGCUGAACAUCUGAAAAUCAAUUCAUGUGAUCCAUCACAUUAGCAGACUCAAGAAAAAAAACCACAUUAUCAUAUCAGUAGAUGUAGAAAAAAAAAUUUAACAAAAUCCAGCACCCAUUCACAAUGAAAAUGCCCAGUAAAUUAGAAAUAGAAGGUAACUUCCUCAAAUUGAUAAGGAAUAUCUCUAAAAACCUACAACUAAAAUCAUACUUAAUGGUAGAAAACUAGAAGCCUUCCCAGUAAGAGUAAGAACAAGGCAAAGAUGUAUGCUCUCACCAAUGCUUUUCAACAUCAUAUAUUGGAAGUCCUAGCUAGUGCAAUAAGCAAAAAAAAAAAAAAAAAAAAAAAAGUUAUGUUAAUAAGAACAAAAACUGUGUUUGUUUGCAGAUGACAUGAUUUUCUAUGCAAAAAA
rnacentral:sRNA from 1 species